UGUUAAACUCUUUUAUUUAUUUCUAUUGUUAAAAAUUGACGUGACUGACGAAAUAACUUAAUAGUUACACAUGAUAUGCCACGUGUAUCUUAUGUUGACAUAUAGGAACCAAUUUUAAAUAGUAAAAAUCAAUGAAAUUUUUAAUA
rfam:Gossypium arboreum cultivar AKA8401 contig_35_9, whole genome shotgun sequence.